GAUGAACGCUGACAGAAUGCUUAACACAUGCAAGUCGAUUGGGAAGUGGUGCUUGCACCAUGGUAACCAUGGCGGACGGGUGAGUAACGCGUAAGGAACUUACCUGCGGGACCGGGAUAACAGCAGGAAACUGCUGACAAGACCGGAUAAGGUCAUUAAGCUGCAUAGCUUAGUGAUGAAAGGAGACGCCUGCGGAGAGCCUUGCGUCCUAUUAGCUAGUUGGAGGGGUAACGGCCCACCAAGGCGAAGAUAGGUAGCCGGCCUGAGAGGGUGGACGGCCACAAGGGGACUGAGAUACGGCCCUUACUCCUACGGGAGGCAGCAGUGGGGAAUAUUGGACAAUGGGGGCAACCCUGAUCCAGCAAUUCUGUGUGCACGAAGACGGUUUUCGGAUUGUAAAGUGCUUUCAGCAGGGAAGAAGGAAGUGACGGUACCUGCAGAAGAAGCGACGGCUAAAUACGUG
rnacentral:rRNA from 1 species